rnacentral:rRNA from 1 species
CCUACGGGGGGCUGCAGUGAGGAAUAUUGGUCAAUGGGCGGGAGCCUGAACCAGCCAAGUCGCGUGAGGGAAGACUGCACUGAGUAUUGUAAACCUCUUUUGCCAGGGGACAAAGGCGGCCACGGGUGGCCGUAAGAGGGUACCUGGAGAAAAAGCAUCGGCUACCUCCGUGCCAGCAACCGCGGUAAUACGGAGGAUGCGAGCGUUCUCCGGAUUUAUUGGGUUUAAAGGGUGCGCAGGCGGCGUGUCAAGUACGCGGUAAAAUGUCGGGGCUCAACCCCGGCCGGCCGUUGAAACUGGCGUGCUCGAGUGGGAGAGAAGUAUGCGGAAGUCGUGGUGUAGCGGUGAAAUGCAUAGAGAUCACGAAGAACCCCGAUUGCGAAGGCAGCAUACCGGUGCCACACUGACGCUGAGGCACGAAAGCGUGGGUAUCGAACAGGAUUAGAUACCCUAGUAGUC